CAGUCGCGCGGGAAUACGAAGGGGGCUAGCGUUGCUCGGAAUUACUGGGCGUAAAGGGAGCGUAGGCGGACAUUUAAGUCAGGGGUGAAAUCCCAGAGCUCAACUCUGGAACUGCCUUUGGUACUGGGUGUCUUGAGUGUGAUAGAGGUAUGUGGAACUCCGAGUGUAGAGGUGAAAUUCGUAGAUAUUCGGAAGAACACCAGUGGCGAAGGCGACAUACUGGAUCAUUACUGACGCUGAGGCUCGAAAGCGUGGGGAGCAAACAGGAUUAGAUACCCCUGUAGUCCCUGUCUCUUAUACA
rnacentral:rRNA from 1 species